CCUACGGGGGGCUGCAGUGAGGAAUAUUGGUCAAUGGGCGAGAGCCUGAACCAGCCAAGUCGCGUGAGGGAGUACUGCCCUAUGGGUUGUAAACCUCUUUUGUCGGGGAGCAAAAGCCGGACGUGUCCGGCUGUGAGAGUACCCGAAGAAAAAGCAUCGGCUAACUCCGUGCCAGCAGCCGCGGGAAUACGGAGGAUGCGAGCGUUAUCCGGAUUUAUUGGGGUAAAAGGGUGCGCAGGCGGAUUUUUAAGUCAGCGGUCAAAUCGUGGGGCUGAAACCCAUCCAGCCGUUGAAACUGGGGAUCUAGAGUGUGCGAGAGGUAUGCGGAAUGCGUGGUGUAGCGGUGAAAUGCAUAGAUAUCACGCAGAACCCCGAUUGCGAAGGCAGCAUACCGGUGCACAACUGACGCUCAGGCACGAAAGCGUGGGUAUCGAACAGGAUUAGAUACCCCAGUAGUC
rnacentral:rRNA from 1 species